GUGCCCUCUAUCUAGCUAAGUCCUUAAAGCACAUACACAUGAGGUUUAGAGGACACAUACUCUGGGUUUGUCCCUGACCCCACUUCUUCUCUCAGCCUUCCCAAAUCUGAAUGAACUGGAAUUCCUCCAUCCCCUACUCUCUUCUUUCUUAGCACUUACCAUACCAUUUUGAAAAUUCCCCUUUCUUUGCCUGUUUCUGCAAAUGAACCAGAAACUCCCUGUAAGUUGAGACCAUGUGUUCUCUAUUGCUUUUUCAUGGCAAGGGGAGAUGGGGGUUGUGGUAGUGAGUGGGCAUCAGUGCCCAGAAGGCAGUGCCUGGGACACUACAAUCAUGCAGUGAACACUUGUAACAUUAAUAAGUGGGUGAACUUAUCAUGUGUCUUUAUAGUUAUACAAUAUAGUGGGAUGAUACGACACAUCUCACAAUUGUGUUGUGGAGACAAAACAAGCUUAUGGAAAGCAAUUAGAAAAAGCUAAAGACUAUAUGAGGUGGAAUAUGAAAUAGAGUGAUUUAGUUUUUAAAAACUGUGUCGCAUUUCACAAAACCUAAUGAACGUUAGCACCCACUAACCAGCCACCUCAGGGACCUGGAUAUGCACUGCUUUGGCAAUUGCCUAUCCUCACUCAAAAAAACAGGAAGGAAUUCCUCCCAAGAUCCUGAUUCCUUCCAUAGACAGUAUCUGAGCAAGUUGCAUGCUGACAAAUCUGUUUCAUUCCUUUCUAGUUAACCAAAAUGAAUAUCCUCCUGGCUUUCCUGACAAUGGGAUGCAUUCUCCAAAAUCAAAUUUACAAUUACAAUGAUCUUGGCACCACACAGUGCCCUGUGCAUACACAAGACUUGAUAAAUACUUGCUGAAUCAGUGACUUGCAGAAGAGCUUCCCACCACUUUGGGAAUGAUUGUGAUUUCCCUAAUUUCCUUGUUUUUCUUCUGCUGAAACAUUCUGCUUGCAAUACCACUCAUGAUUAUUCAGACCAGUCAAAAGGAAAAAAAAUUUUUUAUCCUGACUAACCAUAUUCAUAAACAUGAGUUACAGUGGCUGAAACAUGUUCCAGAGGAGUGUGCUCUGAACCUGCCAAGCAGCACCACAGUGGGAACCUGACCAGUGGUUACUGGUACCUCCAGUGCCCUGUACAGACUGUGUGCCACCCCCGUGCUUAGUGAACACAGGUUGGAUCUGCAGCUGAACAGCUUAAAGAAUGGCACCUCUGCACUCUAGAACUGGAGCAUGAUCUUCUCAUCAGAAGCCUUGCUUCUCACGGUUCCCUAAUUCACUUGGCAUUCAAUGACACUCUCUGUCACUUAGUUCACAAUUAUCUUUCAAACAAGAACAACAACAACACAAAAAAGAUAGCUUUGAUAAAUCUAACUUUUUCACAUGUUGAAACUGGCCCAAACUCUUAAAAGCAUAUAUUUUUACAUAAUUUAUUACAAAUGACUCACAGAUGAAGCCAUAAAUUUCCCCCACCCAGAGAAAUGUUCUCUUUUUUUGGCACUGUUUCAACCUUGAAGUUGACAAACCUAGUUUGUUUGGGGAUAGUGAGUAUUUGUGAAGAAGGCAUAGAAAACAUUUUCAAUAAUCACAUAAAAAGUCAGUUUAACUUACAGUGAACACGUUUUUGGUGCCAAGAAUUGCCCUAGGUAUUUUAUACAGACUGGUUGUCCAGAAAUCUUUUUUUUUUCUCUUCUCCUUUCUGAAGCUCAUAUGUUGCAGUGUUUUGAGGUACAGCAUAGCCUCUUGUGGAAGCUUAAAGAGAAAGGGGAAAACCCAAGUCACUUCAUUUUGCAAUUAAUUACUUCUUCUGGGAACACUUUGCCUUGCAAUUGUAGUAUUUCUCUCUCUCUAUUUAUUAUUUCUGAUUGUUUCGGUCUUGUAUACUCCACCCAGAAACAAAAAAAAUGUAUACAAAAAUAGAACUAAUCUUGACUAUGUGACUCCAAGUACGUAAUCUGUCCUCCAUAAGCAGUACUGGUAUGAAAUAAAAUAUUUAUAUGACUAUUAACAAAAGGCAAGAUAUAUUGAAUGCUUGCUGUGAGCCAGGCAUUCUGUAAAGCACUUUAUACACACUAUCUCAUUCAAUACUCAUAACAAGUUCCAGAAAUAGGUACUGUUAUUAGCCCUGUUUUACAGAUACGGCCUGAGUCACUUCCCAAAGUUCGCACAGCAAGUAAGGACAGAGGCUGAGAUAAGGCUGCAGAGGGUAAAGAGCCCUGGUUCUCUCCUUGGAGAUGGCUCACUAAGUCAUAGUCUCAGCCCCGGUCUUGCUAGCCAAGGGAUCAAAAGUAAAUCCCAAACUCCUUACGUCUCUGUUUCUUCGCUUAUUGACUGUAACCACUGACACCCACACUGUCCAUUCACUUCUGUCCACCCAUCUAUUUGUCUGUCUUAGAACACUUAACUCUCAUUGUUUUAUAUUUUGUUUAUAAGAGUUACUGGUGGCUCUCAAAGAGCAGAAAAUAUGUCAUACCCAUCUUCAUAGUCAUAGCUUCCAGGCAAAGACGAUUAUAUAAGUGAUGUCAGAUGAUCUGAACCUAGGUCGUCUGGCUCCAGAAUUUGUGCUCUUAAGGACUAUGGCAUCCAAGACAGGAAUCUGCUUUUCUUUUUAAACCCACGUCUGGUUCGGAGUAGGUCUUUAAAUUGUUUCUAUCUCCCCUUUCUCUUGAGUCUUUCACUCCUGUUUUUACUCUGUGAUCUGUAUUUAGUUUUGUGUAAUCAGAGAUGUGAUUUUCAUUGCACUCUGUUUUAAAAAGUCCAGGUAUUAAAUCUCAUAUAUGCGUUAAUAUUACUUUCUCAUUGAUCUUUCUUAGGAGCAACAGGGAAAGAAAAAACGCCUUCCUCUAAUUUUCAAGUUUUAUUGCCUUAAAUGUGAAGAGUAACAAAGUUUGACCACUCCAAAAUAUGCCAGUUUGGCACAUGGAUUAUUUCAGACUGAAGGCAAUUAAGAAUGAGCAGACACAAAAAUGCUCUCUGCUCUCCUCCUAUUUGCCUAAAAGCAAGACAUAAAUUUACCAAAGUGUCUCCUUCCCCCUCUGUACCAGAAAGGACAAAAGCUAAUCACCAGAGACAAUUUUAGUCCCUUAUCCAGCCUGGAGGCACAGGAGAAAUCUACAUACCAAACUGAAGACUUCCUUUCCCUCAUAGUUGCUUUCACACAAUUUGUUGCCGGUGGAGACCCAAAGUCCUUCUCCUUUGCCUUGUCACUUCCCCAAAAAUGUCUUUCCUUGUGAAGACCAGGCUGUAAAUAAAACUUGGAGUCACUCAUCCCCAAGUUUCUCCAAUGCAUAAAUAAGAUAAACAUGUUAAUAAAACUUGUUUGUUUUUCUCUCGUU